rnacentral:rRNA from 1 species
UGCAGUCGAGCGGUACAGAAAGUAGCUUGCUACUUUGCUGACGAGCGGCGGACGGGUGAGUAAUGCUUGGGAACAUGCCUUGAGGUGGGGGACAACAGUUGGAAACGACUGCUAAUACCGCAUAAUGUCUACGGACCAAAGGGGGCUUCGGCUCUCGCCUUUAGAUUGGCCCAAGUGGGAUUAGCUAGUUGGUGAGGUAAUGGCUCACCAAGGCAACGAUCCCUAGCUGGUUUGAGAGGAUGAUCAGCCACACUGGAACUGAGACACGGUCCAGACUCCUACGGGAGGCAGCAGUGGGGAAUAUUGCACAAUGGGCGAAAGCCUGAUGCAGCCAUGCCGCGUGUGUGAAGAAGGCCUUCGGGUUGUAAAGCACUUUCAGUCAGGAGGAAAGGGUGUGAGUUAAUACCUCAUAUCUGUGACGUUACUGACAGAAGAAGCACCGGCUAACUCCGUGCCAGCAGCCGCGGUAAUACGGAGGGUGCGAGCGUUAAUCGGAAUUACUGGGCGUAAAGCGUACGCAGGCGGUUUGUUAAGCGAGAUGUGAAAGCCCCGGGCUCAACCUGGGAACUGCAUUUCGAACUGGCAAACUAGAGUGUGAUAGAGGGUGGUAGAAUUUCAGGUGUAGCGGUGAAAUGCGUAGAGAUCUGAAGGAAUACCGAUGGCGAAGGCAGCCACCUGGGUCAACACUGACGCUCAUGUACGAAAGCGUGGGGAGCAAACGGGAUUAGAUACCCCGGUAGUCCACGCCGUACACGAUGUCUACUAGAAGCUCGGAACCUCGGUUCUGUUUUUCAAAGCUAACGCAUUAAGUACACCGCCUGGGGAGUACGGCCGCAGGUUAAAACUCAAAUGAAUUGACGGGGGCCCGCACAGCGGUGGAGCAUGUGGUUUAUUCGAUGCACGCGAGACCUUUACCUACUCUUGACAUACAGAGCACUUUACUAGAGAUAGAUUGUGCUUCGGGACUCUGAUACAGUGCUGCAUGCCUGUCGUCAGCUCGGUUGGAGAUGUAGUAAGUCCGCACGAGGCCAACCGUAUCAUAGUGCUAGCAGUUAUGCUGAACCUUAGGACUGCGGGUUAAGUCCGGAAAGGUGACACACU